rnacentral:rRNA from 1 species
GGCCCUAUGGGGCGCAGCAGGCGAGAAAACUUUGCAAUGUGCGAAAGCACGACAAGGUUAAUCCGAGUGGUUUCUGCUAAAGGAACCUUUUGUUAGUCGUAGAAUCACUGAUGAAUAAGGGGUGGGCAAGUUCUGGUGUCAGCCGCCGCGGUAAAACCAGCACCUCAAGUGGUCAGGAUGAUUAUUGGGCCUAAAGCAUCCGUAGCCGGCUCUGUAAGUUUUCGGUUAAAUCUGUACGCUCAACGUACAGGCUGCCGGGAAUACUGCAGCGCUAGGGAGUGGGAGAGGUAGACGGUACUCGGUAGGAAGGGGUAAAAUCCUUUGAUCUAUUGAUGACCACCUGUGGCGAAGGCGGUCUACCAGAACACGUCCGACGGUGAGGGAUGAAAGCUGGGGGAGCAAACCGGAUUAGAUACCCGGGUAGUCCCAGCUGUAAACUAUGCAAACUCAAUGAUGCAUUGGCUUGUGGCCAGUGCAGUGUUGCAGGAAGCCGUUAAGUUUGCCGCCUGGGAAGUACGUACGCAAGUAUGAGACUUAAAGGAAUUGGCGGGGGAGCAC